CCCUUAGAUGUUCUGGGCUGCACGCGCGCUACACUGAAGCGUUCAACGAGUAUUCACCUUGCCCGGGAGGGCUGGGUAAUCUUUGAACGCUGUUCGUGAUUGGGAUAGACCUUUGCAAUUAUGGGUCUUCAACGAGGAAUUCCUAGUAAACGCAAGUCAUCAGCUUGCAUUGAUUACGUCCCUGCCCUUUGUACACACCGCCCGUCGCACCUACCGAUUGAAUGGUCCGGUGAAAUCUCGGGACGGCGGCUUGGUCGCUUGCGUCCGACUGCUGAAACUUGAUUAAACCAUAUCAUUUAGAGGAAGGUGAAGUCGUANCA
rnacentral:rRNA from 1 species